rnacentral:rRNA from 1 species
CCUACGGGAGGCAGCAGUGAGGAAUAUUGGUCAAUGGCCGGAAGGCUGAACCAGCCAAGUCGCGUGAAGGACGACGGCCCUAUGGGUUGUAAACCUCUUUUAUAAGGGAAGAAUACUUUCUACGUGUAGCAUGAUGCCUGUACCUUAUGAAUAAGCAUCGGCUAACUCCGUGCCAGCAGCCGCGGUAAUACGGAGGAUGCGAGCGUUAUCCGGAUUUAUUGGGUUUAAAGGGUGCGUAGGCGGUUUUUUAAGUUAGUGGUAAAAGGUCGGGGCUUAACCUUGAAUUGCCAUUAAUACUGUAAGACUCGAGUUCAGACGAGGUAGGCGGAAUGAGUUGAGUAGCGGUGAAAUGCUUAGAUAUAACAUAGAACUCCGAUAGCGAAGGCAGCUUACCAGACUACGACUGACGCUGAAGCACGAGAGCGUGGGUAGCGAACAGGAUUAGAUACCCUGGUAGUC